rnacentral:rRNA from 1 species
AUUGAACGCUGGCGGCAUGCCUUACACAUGCAAGUCGAACGGUAACAGGUCUUCGGAUGCUGACGAGUGGCGAACGGGUGAGUAAUACAUCGGAACGUGCCCGAUCGUGGGGGAUAACGGAGCGAAAGCUUUGCUAAUAACGCAUACGAUCUACGGAUGAAAGCAGGGGACCGCAAGGCCUUGCGCGGACGGAGCGGCCGAUGGCAGGUUAGGUAGUUGGUGGGAUAAAAGCUUACCAAGCCGACGAUCUGUAGCUGGUCUGAGAGGACGACCAGCCACACUGGGACUGAGACACGGCCCAGACUCCUACGGGAGGCAGCAGUGGGGAAUUUUGGACAAUGGGCGAAAGCCUGAUCCAGCCAUGCCGCGUGCAGGAUGAAGGCCUUCGGGUUGUAAACUGCUUUUGUACGGAACGAAAAGACUCUUUCUAAUAAAGAGGGUCCAUGACGGUACCGUAAGAAUAAGCACCGGCUAACUACGUG